rnacentral:rRNA from 1 species
UACGGAGGGUGCAAGCGUUAUCCGGAUUUACUGGGUUUAAAGGGUGCGUAGGUGGGUUGGGUAGUCAGUGGUGAAAUACUUUCGCUUAACGAAGGAACUGCCAUUGAUACUCCCAAUCUUGAAUACAGUGGAGGUGGGCGGAAUGCGUCAUGUAGUGGUGAAAUACUUAGAUAUGACGCAGAACACCUAUUGCGAAGGCAGCUCGCUACACUGUCAUUGACACUGAGGCACGAAAGCGUGGGGGAUCAAACCAGG